GAUGAACGCUGGCGGCGUGCCUAAUACAUGCAAGUCGAGCGAACAGACGAGGAGCUUGCUCCUCUGACGUUAGCGGCGGACGGGUGAGUAACACGCGGAUAACCUACCUAUAAGACUGGGAUAACUUCGGGAAACCGGAGCUAAUACCGGAUAAUAUAUUGAACCGCAUGGUUCAAUAGUGAAAGACGGUUUUGCUGUCACUUAUAGAUGGAUCCGCGCCGCAUUAGCUAGUUGGUAAGGUAACGGCUUACCGAGGCAACGAUGCGUAGCCGACCUGAGAGGGUGAUCGGCCACACUGGAACUGAGACACGGUCCAGACUCCUACGGGAGGCAGCAGUAGGGAAUCUUCCGCAAUGGGCGAAAGCCUGACGGAGCAACGCCGCGUGAGUGAUGAAGGUCUUCGGAUCGUAAAACUCUGUUAUUAGGGAAGAACAAAUGUGUAAGUAACUAUGCACGUCUUGACGGUACCUAAUCAGAAAGCCACGGCUAACUACGUG
rnacentral:rRNA from 1 species